GAAAUUAACUUUUUCUUCAUUGUUUGUAUCACCGAAAGUAGAAAAGAAAAACUAGGUUUGAGAGCUUGAAAUAUUCGGCCCUUUUGAAAGCUUAAUUCAAGAUCAAGAAACCAAGAAAUCGGAUUUAGAUCGGGGGAAAUCAAAGGUAGUUGAGUUGCCGAUUUAUUAGUCGACGAUAUCCGAGAUUUUGGUGAUCGCUACGUGUUCGGGGAUCGUCAGCUAAGCUCAUCACACUAUCGGUGUCUUCUUUUGGUAUUUUGCUAAAUUGUUUUCAAGUAUAUGGCAUGUAUAGCAUAGUUAAAAAUGUUGAUUUUGAAACCAAUGUGUUUGUGUAAUUAAAAGCCAUGCGAAAAUGGCUUAUCUCUUUUUGUUUGAAUUUGAUUUUGAUACAUAUAGUUAAUGGACAAUUUGGGGUAUAUGCUUAUGUAUCAUGUGCAUGAUUAAUUAGAUUUAGAUAAUAUAUAUUUGGCUUAGAUAUAAGUUCAAUAA